rnacentral:miRNA from 1 species
UGGACGGAGAACUGAUAGGGC